UAGCUCUUUGAGCAUAUUGAAGACUGUUGUUUUAAAAUCUUGCUCUAGUACAUCCAGUGUUUUUGUUUCUUUAGGGACAGUGUCUGCCACUUUAUUUUCAUCCUUUGAAUGGGCUGUUUUCUUGUUUUUGUUUUUUUGGAUGCCUUGUGAUUUUUUUGUUGAAAAGAAGGCAUUUGAAAAAACAGCUCUUCCCAUGGUGAGAAACUAGCUCCAUGCUGAAAAAGACUGUCACUAAUUAACAGGGUGUUUUCUGAGCCUUGAGAUCAGCCUGAGGUGAAGACUUGUGUCUUCUCUCAUCUCUUCUUGGCAUUCAUCUUGCUUGGGCUUGUGUGCAUCCUUUUUCUACUUCCCCAUAUACAUAGCUGCUUUUAAAUAUCUUAACUUCUCAAAAAGUCACACCUCAGCUGCUUCUCCUAGCUUUAGAUGUUCUAUUGUAUUCCUAUGCCCAUAAUCUCUUUCUCAGACAUCUAUUGUCUGUAAUCCCCCUGCAGCUUUCACAAGCACUGUUCACUGCUUCCCAUGUUUUUUUCCAGCCUGACAUCUGAGUUAUUCUGCUUUUCCUUACCUGAGCUCUGGAGUUGAUUGUGACAGAGCAGCACCUUAGGCAGCCCCCAGACCGGUUAGAAUGUUGCAAAUGAGGUCUGCUCUGUUCACUCCAGUUGGAGGGAGUGUAUUGGCAGUUGGGCUGCUGCUUCCUCCUGACUGUUCCUUGUGGAAAAGGGGAUGGGACAAGGAUGAAUAACAAUGCCAUGAAAUUUUCUACCUUUUUUAAGGAUGAUGCUAUCUUUCCUGGCUACCUCUCUGGGUUCUUUUCUGAGGAUCAGAUGAGACCAUGCAUAUGAAUGCAUCUUGAAGAACAUAAGACUCAUACAAGAAACUCCAAAUACAGAUCUCAAGAUCACAGGGCUUCUCCAGCUUCAGCUUCCCCAGCUUUACAUUCCUGCCAACAGCAUAGCAUGAAAACAGCUGGUUAGACAGCUCUGCACAGUCCUUUCACGACAAUGCAUCUCCACUGUCAGGCUCCAUGAACCAGAAAAGGAGAGGCCUGUUGAAAGGAAGGACUGUGAACAGGAGUGAGUGGCAGUCCUUGGCCUCAGGCAGAUGGACAACUGGGCCCUCCGGCAAGAGGAUCUGGGAGAAGCUCUAAGGAGUUGAGAGAGAAGAAUCCCCUGGGGCUGGGCUAAGUAGCAGGGCCCACUCCCCCUCCCCCUCCAGAGCAUUCUAGGGUUAGGACUAAAUGGGAGUCCCAGAAGAACCAUUUUGUAAAAACCUUAUUCUUAGUGGAUUAUAGGUAAUUAUUUCUACUGUGAUAUGUCCAUUCCUUUUUUUUUUCUUCUUCUCCCCAAAGCUCCCCAGUACAUAGUUGUAUAGUCUAGUUGUAGGUCCUUCCGGUUGUGUUCUGUGGGACGCUGCCUCAGCAUGGCCUGACGAGU